UGCUGAGCGGUGGCGUUGUUCGGGCGAGCCGACGACGAGACCGUAGCUGUCUGGAAAUUUGUCUCGUGUGUUAGAUUCAAACGUAUUCCUCGUAUUAGACCAUUUGUGUACGUCCGACGAGUCAAUCGGUCCGCAAUUUUAACACACGUCUCUGUUAGUGUCCUGAAUUAGACGGGAGAAUGGCGGCCGCUGAGGUGAACGGUAGUUCUGCCCCGGCAAAGGAGGAGGAAGAGCCCAUGGAUGUGACAACAACACAUACAGAGAACUACCAGACGCUCAUUGAUGCUGGGCUGCCCCAGAAAGUGGCUGAAAGUCUAGAUAACAUCUUCCAGACCGGCUUGGUGGCGUAUGUUGACCUAGACGAAAGGGCCAUCGAUGCACUGCGGGAGUUCAAUGAGGAGGGAGCGCUUACUGUGCUGCAGCAAUUCAAAGAGAGUGAUCUGUCUCAUGUACAGAAUAAAAGUGCUUUCCUUUGUGGAGUCAUGAAGACUUACAGGCAGAGAGAAAAACAAGGCAGUAAAGUACAGGAGUCCACAAAGGGCCCGGACGAGGCGAAAAUAAAGUCUCUAUUGGAACGGACAGGAUACACCCUGGAUGUCACUACAGGUCAGAGGAAAUAUGGAGGCCCCCCACCUGAGGAUGUGUUCAAAGGAACACAGCCAGGGAUUGGAACUGAGGUGUUUGUCGGUAAAAUCCCAAGGGAUUUGUAUGAAGAUGAGCUGGUGCCGCUCUUUGAGUCAGCUGGUCCCAUCUGGGACCUCAGGUUAAUGAUGGACCCUCUCUCUGGUCAGAAUAGAGGUUACGCCUUCAUCACAUACUGCAAUAAGGAUGAUGCCCAAAAAGCUGUGAAGCUUUGUGAUAACCAUGAAAUCCGCCCUGGCAAGUACUUGGGAGUGUGCAUAUCUGUUGCAAACAAUCGCCUGUUUGUCGGAUCAAUUCCAAAGAACAAGACAAGAGAAAGUAUAUUGGAAGACUUUGGCAAAGUUACAGAGGGUCUCCAAGAGGUGAUAUUGUACCACCAGCCAGAUGACAAGAAAAAGAACCGUGGCUUCUGUUUCCUGGAAUACGAGGACCACAAGUCUGCAGCACAAGCUCGCCGCCGCCUAAUGAGUGGCAAAGUCAAGGUGUGGGGGAACCCAGUCACUGUAGAGUGGGCUGACCCUGUCGCCGAGCCAGACCCGGAGGUCAUGGCCAAGGUCAAGGUGCUCUUUGUGAGGAAGCUGGCCACAGCAGUGACUGAAGAGCUCCUUGAGAAGACUUUCUCUCAGUUUGGAAAGCUGGAGCGAGUGAAGAAAUUGAAAGACUAUGCUUUUGUCCAUUUUGAAGAAAGGGAUGCGGCCGUAAAGGCAAUGGAUGAGAUGAAUGGGAAGGAGCUGGGAGGAGAGGAAAUUGAGAUCGUCCUGGCAAAGCCGCCAGACAAGAAGAGGAAAGAGCGCCAAGCAGCUCGGCAGACCACCAGGAACGCAGGGUAUGACGACUACUACUACUACCCACCUCCACGCAUGCCCCCACCAGGCCGAGGCAGGGGUCGUGGUGGCCGAGGGGGCUAUGCCUAUCCACCAGAUUACUAUGGAUAUGAAGACUACUAUGAUGACUACUAUGGCUACGACUAUCAUGACUACCGUGGUGGCUAUGAAGACCCUUACUACGGCUACGAAGAUGUGUAUAGCAUGAGGGGCCGUGGCACUCGUCCCAGCAGGGGGGGGCCUCCUCCACCUAGGGCUCGUGGGGCGCCACCGGCACGAGGCCGGGGCGGCUAUGCCCAAAGAGGGCCGCCCCUCGGACCUCCGAGGGGCGGCCGAGGAGGGCGGGGAGCCCCUUUCCAGCCACAGAGGGGCCGAGGUCCUCGCGGGGCCAGGGGCAAUCGCGGGGGUAACGUCGGCGGAAAGAGGAAGGCAGACGUGUUUAACCAGCCUGACUCCAAGCGCCGCCAGACCAACAACCAACAGAACUGGGGGUCCCAGCCCAUCGCCCAGCAGCCCCUGCAGCAAGGGGCCGACUAUUCCGGUGGAGAAGCAUUGAGAGCGGCACCACUAGAAUGAGGAACUCACCUGAACGGUACUCAAGGGCUAUGAAGAACACAAGUCACUAAAGUUGACUGAAGACUCAUUGGAAAUAUUAAAAUUGUGUUACCAGCAUGUUUCUGGAGUUUAGAGGACACAUGAGCAGUGCAUAUUUCCUUCACAGAUGCACUGCAUAUUUUUCCCCUUCAGCCAAAUGAAAAGUCAUGCCCAAUUUUAAGAGCCAAAUGGCUGUUUCUUAAGACUGGAUUAAACAGCCACAAGGCAGACAGCCAAGGAUUUGGUAAGCGCUAUAAAUCUCAAAACCCUGCAAACACCUGUUGCCUGUCUUGGCUUACUGCACCAAAAUCACCUCAGCUGUCUGCACACACAUUCUGUGAAUUAAGGGGUGGUGGUGGUGGAUAUUUCCCCUGCUACGCCGCUAGAGGUAGCAGUUCCACACCAGCACGACUGGUGGUCCAUUGUUCCUUUAUCCGACACUGCAUUUAUUGGCCAUUUUCUGAGCUGGAGAGGCGUUAAUUAAUAGGUAGAUAUUCGACUACGGGAGCUGUUUUUCAAAUGUAUUCAAAUAGCAGUGGAGAUACUCUGUUAAAUGUUGGUAAAAUUGGCUGAUGUUGGAACAAUGGCUGUGCCUCAGGACUGAUGUCUGUACCCUUCAACGCCACAAGAUGGCAGUAGAUUGGCUACAGUAUUUAUAUUGCACAGGUAAGACUGAAAUAGGGGGCACAGUAUUACAGCAGGCAAGCUAAUUGUUUCAAUUUACACACAUAUUCUGGUUUGCAUUGAAGUGCCAUCAAAUACUGGAGUGUCCUUUACAGUUUCUCAUGUCAGAACUGUGUCUUUAUAUGUUGCCUCUUGUCAGCAGGCAGUAAAGGAGCUGCCCCCCAUCCAUGUGAAUGAGUUCACACUAAUGGAAGGGACUGAUUGGUAAGAUUGUUCAUUAUCUGAAUUAAUGCUCAGAAAAAGUCUCAACAUGUUUGUAUUUUUACUUUUUGUUAUAUUGUGAAACAAUGUUGGAUGUCCUAGUUUUCUCUUUAUGACCUCUUCCAAGAGUCAGUAAGUUCUGUACGUUGUUUUUUCAGAAUUUUAACUGGGCGUCAAGUCACAAAUACAUUUAAACACACAUACAUUUAUAUUAGUUGUUAUAGAUAAAUGGCAUCGUAUUAGAGACAAUGCAGUCUGUUUUCUGGUCAUGUUGUUGGUGUUGAUGGUCAUUCUGAUGCCAAGAUUUGUUAACAUGCCCUCUUCUGUGUGGCCCUUUUUUUUAUUUUUUUCUAGCACUGACUGAGGAGACUGUUCUCCACAAGCACAUCCCACAGAAUGACCUACUUACUGGACCUUACACUUGAGGUCCAGGACUCAUGGGACCACCAGCUGGCUACCCUGUUUACAUCUCAGCAGAAGACACAGACGCGUAGGAAGAUACAGUUGAUGGAUGAUCCAGAGCUCCAUCCAGCAGACUGCUGCUUCCUUAUCCAGCUUAAAAGAAUUAUGACUGUAAAGGGAACUGGUCUGUUGCUCUUGAUUGUUCAAUACAUUUUAUUACCCAAGUAAAUGUGUGUGUGUGUGUGUGUGUAUUUAUAUUUACAGUUUCUUUAACUACUUUUCAUAUUAUAACGUUUGUAAACACCACUUAAGUUAAUGUUAUCUUGUCAGCACAUGUGCACUACUUUUACUUGUGUGUGUGUGUGUCUUCGCAGUGAAACUGAAUUAUGUUCAUUGUGAAGUUCAGUAGUGGGUCCUAAAGUCAAUGAUAAAACAUAUUGCUUGUUGCAAACUUGACCAGUCAAACAGAUGGAAAUGGGGGUGGGCCUGUAAACAUAAUGGACCAGUGUGACCCGUCAGUGGCCAAUCCUGGUGACAGUACUCGCCCCUUCCUGCCUCAUCGUGGUCAAAUUAAAAGUACAACUGUGUGGAUGCAGGUGGAUGUCUUUAAUUGGAAGAGCGUGAGGUGCAAGCCUAAAAACUGGAAUUAAAUUUGGUAAUUUAAAAACAAAAACCCUAGUUUUGUCGGCCAUCGGGGUAAAAUUAAUUUCCAAGCAGCUGAUCAGGCUACGAUACAUUGCGGGUGGCUGGAGAGCUUUACCUGAGCCGCAUAAAGAAGUUGGACUUACUAAUAAAUAAUCUUAACAUCAUGCAUGCAGAGAACCUGGUUACUGUACGGCUGUUAGCUGCUGCUGGUUGUAAUUAUAUGCCAGACAAACUCAAUGCAAAGCUCUCUAAAUGAAACGUGUAGAUCUAAACAACAAUAUGUAAACUUGUCGGGAUGCCUUUGCUAAAAAAUAAAUUCAAUAAUAUGAUGAUUGCAGUCAUAUUGUGCAUGACAACACAUAAUAUCCUGCGUUUUUCUCUAUUUAACAUGAUUUUAUAAAAUAGUAUGAGCCGUGCGGAAGUCGAAGCGGAAGUGUAUUAUCUUUGUUUCCUGGCUUUUCAAAAUAAGGCAAGCUAUGUUUUCAAUUGAGAAAAUAAUAAAUAAGUCUCCUACUUUUACAAAUAAACGUUCAUAUUUUGUGUCCGUAUUACACAUCACUUUAAUUGAUUUAUGUAUUUUAGCACCUACUCUAACAUAACCUUGCAUUACGUUGAUUCCAGAUUAAAUUAAAGUAA